GUAGGGAAUCUUGCGCAAUGGGCGAAAGCCUGACGCAGCCAUGCCGCGUGAAUGAUGAAGGUCUUAGGAUUGUAAAAUUCUUUCACCGGGGACGAUAAUGACGGUACCCGGAGAAGAAGCCCCGGCUAACUUCGUGCCAGCAGCCGCGGUAAUACGAAGGGGGCUAGCGUUGCUCGGAAUUACUGGGCGUAAAGGGAGCGUAGGCGGAUAGUUUAGUCAGAGGUGAAAGCCCAGGGCUCAACCUUGGAAUUGCCUUUGAUACUGGCUAUCUUGAGUAUGGAAGAGGUAUGUGGAACUCCGAGUGUAGAGGUGAAAUUCGUAGAUAUUCGGAAGAACACCAGUGGCGAAGGCGACAUACUGGUCCGUUACUGACGCUGAGGCGCGAAAGCGUGGGGAGCAAACAGGAUUAGAAACCCUGGUAGUCC
rnacentral:rRNA from 1 species